GACGAACGCUGGCGGCGUGCCUCAUACAUGCAAGUCGAGCGGAUGCAGGAAUGCAUUAGCGGCGGACGGGUGAGUAACACGUGGGCAACCUGGCCUUAAGAGGGGGAUAACGUUCCGAAAGGGACGCUAAUACCGCGUAAAUCAGCGAAAUCGCAUGAUUUUGUUGGAAAAGGAGAAAUCCGCUUAAGGAUGGGCCCGCGGCCUAUUAGCUAGUUGGUAGGGUAACGGCCUACCAAGGCGACGAUAGGUAGCCGACCUGAGAGGGUGAACGGCCACACUGGAACUGAGAAACGGUCCAGACUCCUACGGGAGGCAGCAGUAGGGAAUAUUCCGCAAUGGGCGAAAGCCUGACGGAGCAACGCCGCGUGAGUGAAGAAGGUCUUCGGACCGUAAAGCUCUGUCAACAGGGACGAAACAAGACGGUACCUGAGAAGGAAGCCACGGCAAACUACGUG
rnacentral:rRNA from 1 species